AAUAAAUCUUUAAUAAAUCUUUGUGUAAAUGAUCUGGUACUAUACUACACUUGAGCUAUUAAAAGAAUGAGAGAGCUAUAACUAGAAACACACUUGUGAGGUAUUAAAAGGAUAAAGCUAAAUAUACAUAAUUUUUAUAUUUAAAAAAUUCAUAAUGGAAUGAUAAGGUAAUGGUAUAUUGCAUCAAAAAAAAAAAAAAAA